rnacentral:rRNA from 1 species
AGUGAACGCUGGCGGUAGGCCUAACACAUGCAAGUCGAACGGCAGCACAGUAAUAGCUUGCUCUUACGGGUGGCGAGGGGCGGGUGAGGGAUGAAUAUAUCGGAGGCUACGUGUGCGAAGGGGAGAACGUAGGGGCACUUACGCCAUUACCGCAUACGACCUACGGGUGAAAGCAUCGGAUCUUCGGACCUCGCGCGAGUGAAUGAGGCGAGGUCGGAUUAGCUAGUUGGCGGGGUAAAGGCCCACCAAGGCGACGAUCCGUAGCUGGUCUGAGAGGAUGAUCAGCCACACUGGAACUGAGACACGGUCCAGACUCCUACGGGAGGCAGCAGUGGGGAAUAUUGGACAAUGGGCGAAAGCCUGAUCCAGCCAUGCCGCGUGUGUGAAGAAGGUCUUCGGAUUGUAAAGCACUUUUGGUGGGAAGGAAGAGCAGUAAGUUAAUACCUCGCUGUUUUGACGUUACCAAAAGAAUAAGCACCGGCUAACUUCGUG